rnacentral:lncRNA from 1 species
UGUAGUUAAUAUGUGAUACAGUCUCUUUAUCGUGAGUUCUGACUAGAUGGUAGGUCAUGGAUAAAUCAUCAAACCUCAUCAUCAGUCAUAUGAUAGAUCCAAUCAGCUCAAGUCUAAUAGUGAUUCCAAAUAAAAACUCUUUUUCAUCAAUCAUAUUAUUAUGGCCAUAGACUUGUAGACUCAGCUUCUCAAAUCUCAUAGGACUACUCUCUCUAUCAUGAUCG